rnacentral:rRNA from 1 species
UACGUAGGGUCCGAGCGUUGUCCGGAAUUAUUGGGCGUAAAGAGCUCGUAGGCGGUUUGUCGCGUCUGCUGUGAAAUCCCGAGGCUCAACCUCGGGUCUGCAGUGGGUACGGGCAGACUGGAGUGCGGUAGGGGAGAAUGGAAUUCCUGGUGUAGCGGUGGAAUGCGCAGAUAUCAGGAGGAACACCGAUGGCGAAGGCAGUUCUCUGGGCCGUAACUGACGCUGAGGAGCGAAAGCGUGGGGAGCAAACAGG